rnacentral:lncRNA from 1 species
CUUGAAAGAAUCAUUCUAUAUGAUAUGAUAGGAUAGACUCUUCUAUUUUGUAGAACCUUAAGUGAUUUGGAUUUAAACCUAUGGAGAAAGAAGGCAUAUACAGAUGAGAUGUCAGUGUGAAGGCCAUUCCAAGAUUAUUUUAGAGGCUUUCCUUGUUAAUCACCAUGAAACAUUCCAUGAGACCCCAUAAAAUGGCUCCUUUCAUCUCUAUUAUCUACAAAGGCACAGACUAUCUGCAUCUUCUUCGUAGAUGAGCACAUGAGGACACAAAAGAGUAAUUUGAGGUAACCUGGUUGUGAUCAUUAAUUUUAAGUGUCAACUUGACUGGAUUAAGGAAUAACCAAAGAACUGGUAAAGCAUCGUUUCUAUGUGUGACCGUGACGGCAUUUCAAGAAAAGAUAGAACUCCAGACUCUUCGGCCUUAAGACUCUGGAACUUACACCAACAGCCGCCCUGGAUUUCCAAGUCUUCAGCCUGGGGCUGAGAAAUACAGCAUUGGCUUUCCUGGUUCUGAGGCUUUUGGACUUUCACCCUGGUAUGUUAUUGGCAUCCCAGGGUUUUCAGGUUGCAGAAGUUCUGUCAUGAGGCUUCUCAGUAUCCCGUAAUCAUCUGACUCAAUUCCCCUAAUCAAUCCUAUCUGCUUAUCUAUCUAAUCUAUUUAUUAUCUAUCUAUAUCAUCUAUCUAUCAUCUGUCUGUCUACUUAUUAUCUAUUAUGUAUCCUAUUAGUUCUUUCUGUCUGUAUUAGUCUGUUUUCACACUGCUAUAAAGAAUGGCCUGAGCCUGGGUAAUUUAUAAAGCAAAGAGGUUUCAUUGACUCAAUUCCGUACAGCUGGGGAGGCUUCAGUAAACUUACAAUCACGGCAGAGGGUGAAAGGAAAACAUGGUAUGUCUUACAUGGCAGCAGGAGAGAAGGAGAGAUCGAGAUGGGAAGUACCACAUUUUAGAACCAUCAGCUCUUGUGAGAACUCACUAUUAGGAGAACAGCAUGGGGGAACCAUCCCAAGAUACAAUCACCUCCCACCAGGUCCCUCCUUCAACACAUGGGGAUUACAAUUUGAGAUAAAAUUUGAAUGGGGACAAAAAGGCAAACCAUAUCACUGUCACUCUUGAGAACCCUAACUAAUACACUGGUUUAAUACUAAAAUUUCAAGAAUUGUUAUAAAUAAAACAGGAAUAUAUAUUUGGAGACUGUAGGAUCUCUUUAGAGUCCCUAUUCAUAUGCACCAUUAUUUUCUUUUUAAUAGUCAAAAUAGGCUUGACUGCUUUAACAAAAUUGGCCUUUUUUAUUACUUCAACCUUUAUAAUUAAUUUUGAAGUUAGACUAACUUUUUUUCCAGACUCUUCAGAUGGUAAAACAUAUGGCACUGUUGUUGUUUAGAUGAAGUAAAAGAUAAUGUGCUAUUAUAUGGUUAUUAUGUAAAUAGAGUUAUUUGAGUCCCAGUGGGAGAUUAUUUAGGUCACUGAAGUAGCUACUCAAUAGUUUUAAAAAUAAAAAUAUCUUUGAGCAACAAAACAACUGUAGUUAUCUUGAAAACUGACAAUACAUUUUGUUGGAACCUAAAGGUUGAAUAUUACACUAAUCAAGAAAGAAUUAUGUUCUAGUUUAGAUCUUAAUUUCUACCAUAAUAAAAGUUGUUUACAUUAAAAUAGUAUGUAUGUUUUUUGAAAUUAAUGUUUUUGCUAGACAUACCCAAAGGCCCAUUUAGAUAUAAUUUGAGAGAACAGUACUCACUACUUUUCUAAGCACCUACAUUUUUGUACCGUAUUUUGUAUAUAAUUUAGGCUAACAUUAUAAUUCUUACACAGUAAAAUGAGUCCUUUCGUUCCCUCACUGCAGAAGCAAUACAUGUAAUAGUCUGUAAGAAUUAGUGUUUUCUAACACGUUCCUUACUUUUAAGUAAUUAUACAAACAGGAAAAGGUGAGCUCAGUAUUUUCUACUGUGUAGCUUGAAAUUAUUUGGCAAUUGUUAGAUUUUUGUAAAACAACAAAUGAUGAUAAUUUGAAUGUGCAGUAUGAAUGAUAAUUGUACUUUUCAAACAAAUUAUCGUUUGUUGAAGGUACCUGAGAAUGAAAGAAAUAAGACAGAGAGAGUGUGUCAAGAGUUCCUUAAAUUACAACUUUAAGCUGUUUUAACUCAUGCUUGAAGCAUUUAGGAUUCAAGGAAAUAUGGGUUAUAGGCAAUUGUGAGUAGUACAGUUACCCUCAGUCAUUAGCAGGGGGUAGGUUCUAAAAUCCCCAGUGGAUGUCUACAAGCACAUAGACAGUACCAAAUCCUAUAUAUACUGUUAUUUUUUUUCUACCCAUACCUAUCUAUGAUAAAGUUUAAUUUAUAAAUUUGGCACAGCAAAAUAUUAUCAACAAUAAUGGAUGAUAAAGUUGAAUGAUUAUCAUUAAGUAAGCAUGCUUCCUCUCUCUCUCAAAAUAUCUUUAUACUUUUAGAUUGCUGUUGACUGCUGGUAAAUGGAACUGCAAAAGAUGAAAUCAUGAAUGAGAGAGGACUACUGUAUAUGUAAUUUGGUAAUUAAAGAGCGAGAGACUACUGCUUCGUAUUGUUAUGAAGGGGAGAGCAGGAGGAUCCAAGAUGUAGUACAGAUGUUUGACACUCAUAGUGAUGAAAGCAGAAAGCAGGUGAAUAAACAGAUAAUGAACUGGUAUCUUGAUAAACAAAAGAUAUAACUAGUUAUCAGAAAAUUGCUUUCUUGAUGUAAGGGCAUGAGGAAACUUAUUCACAGAAAAUAAAAGUCUUUUAGAUGGCUUUAUUGGCUGCAAUGGGGCUGUGAUAUUCAGGGAUAUACAGUGAAAAUAAAUCCAUGAGCUAAGAAGCUUCUUGUUGGCUUAUUCCAACCUUCCUUUAUUCAAUUAUCCACACUUUGAAUUAAUAAAUACUAUGUUUCUGGUCUUGUUCAAGGUGUUGGGGUUUCAUCUAACAGGAAAUGGUGUACUACAACUCAAUUCUUGUGCUGUCUUAGUACGUUCCUGCUGCUAUAAGAAAAUACCUUAAGCUGGGCAAUUUAUAAAGAACAGAAAUUUAUUUCUCAUAGUACCAAAGACUAUGAGUCCAAGAUCUAAGCAUGGGAAGGUUGAGUGUUUGGUGAGAGCUCAGUCUCUGCUUCUGAAAUGGCACUUUGUUGCUGCAUCCUCCAGAGUGGAGGAACACUGUGUUGGUGGAAAGGAUAGAAGAAGUGUGGAAGGGACAGAAGAAGUGUGGAAGGAUGAAGGCUGCAUGAAGCCUUUGGUAUAAGGAUCUUAAUCUAAUUCAUGAAAGAAGAACCCUCUGACCUAAUGUUUUCUUAAAGGCAACACCUCUUAAUAUUAUCACAUUGGUCAACAAGUUUCAACACCUAAGUUUUGGCGGGAUCACAUUCAAAACAUAGAAGAUUCUAACCACCCCCACCCCCCAAAUUUAGCACAUAUCCCACAGAUUAAGGGUUUGGUACUUCACGAGACUGCCCUUGUUUUAGAUGCCAGCCAUCAGUGGAGAGUCCUCGGGUCACCUGCACUUCUCACAAAAUGCCUACAGAUCGGGAAACAGUUGUGGGUAAUGAUUAUACAAUGAUACAAAUGGAUUGUCUGUAUUGCAUAAUUUAAAAUUUUCAAAUAAAGACAUAAGGGAUCAUGAAACAGAAUCCUACUGCAAGAAAAAUUUUAUUGAUUAAAUACUAAACUUGAAGAUAAAUGUUGACAACAGGGAAGAAAAUGUUCAGAAGUUUUUAUUCAUGAUGGGAGUAAGAAAAGGAAGAGAAGAGGGGUAAGAAUUUUAUCUAAAUGGCUCACUUUGUAGAACUUGAAACCAGUCGGAAAUAGGGGAUCUUGGUAGAAAAUAUAGUUCCUUGGUUCUAUAUAAUGAUAAUAAAAUGUGUCUG